CGUCCAGGCACCGCGCGGAAGCGGGCGGCGGCUGCGGCUCGCCGCGUCGAUGCCGGACGGCGGGCUGCGCCCGAUCGUCGCCGGUCCGGGCAUC
rnacentral:tRNA from 1 species